UACGGGGGGAGCAAGCGUUGUUCGGAUUUACUGGGCGUAAAGGGCGCGUAGGCGGUAGCACAAGUCAGUUGUGAAAUCUCCGGGCUUAACUCGGAAAGGUCAACUGAUACUGUGCGACUAGAGUGCAGAAGGGGCAACUGGAAUUCUCGGUGUAGCGGUGAAAUGCGUAGAGAUCGGAAAGAACACCAACGGCGAAAGCACUCUGCUGGGCCGACACUGACACUGAGAGACGAAAGCUAGGGGAGCGAAUGGG
rnacentral:rRNA from 1 species